UGGGCUUGGGCACAUAUGAGGAGAAGUGAAGGGACGGAGACAGAGGGCGUAGCGCUAGUCAGUAGAGGAGGGUCGGAGGGGGCGGAGCGGCCUCUAGUGCUCUCCGCCGCGGGGGUAGGGGCGCUACCUGCGGAGGAUGGCGGCGAGUCCACGCCCGCCACCGCCGCCGAGUCGGGGGGCGUGGCAGCUCCUGUAGAAGUUCCUGAUGGCGCGGGCGGCGUUGCGGUAGGUGGCGCGGGAGUGGGUGCUGCAGCUCCUCAAGAUGCGCGUCACGCUAGGUCUCUUCCUCUUGGACACGGACAUGCCCAUGCGAUUGCUCCGCACCCUCCACCGCGACGGGCGCCUCCUCCACGGGUGGCUCGACGGCCUCGGCCGCGAGCCCUAGUUGAAACGCGCGCUGCCCUACUUCGCGUCGCUGACCGAGCGCGAGCAGCGGCAGGUGAGGCUAAGCACCGAACAGAGGCAUCGAAAGAUGAUACGGCGCGCCGAGUGGGCGUUGCUGGCCUUCGCAAAUAAACCUUACUACUUACUAAACGGUUGGCACAUACUUCAGUAGAGUCCAUACUCUGUUAGCUUCCUCUCCCUGUCUAGUCCACCAUAACUGUUGUCGCCAUCUUUGUUCGACGGUAGUUUCGUAUGUCAGCUCCGCGGCGGUGGUGGUGCACGUCUUUUAUUACGGUCCCUACGGCUACUUCCGAUGCUACUUCUACUGCCGCUGGUGUCGCUCUGGAAUACGCCUUGUACACCACCGUAUAUGUCGCGGCUCCUUAAGACCUAACCCACGCUGCACACGCUCUCCACCAUGGUACCGUUCACGCACUUCUAUUGAGGCCGCUUCCGCCUCUCGUAUUUCGUCAUGUUUACGGGUUCGACGUCGAGGUUCUCUGGAUCCGUCAUCGUCGCGGCGGAGGAAAACCGCCCCCUGCCGGGGGUACCUACCCCCGGAACUUCGUCGUCGUCGUCGCCAACUCUGAAAAUCUGAGGAACACGUUCCGAUUGAUGAUGGCAGAACGAUACAAAUGACAUGGAAAGCAAAGUCCAAAUGUAUACCACUACUACGAUUACGAACACUCCCUUCUACUGUGUGUAAAAGUUUCGGAAGAUUGCAAAGGUACAGGACUUCUCCUCAGUUUCCACAUACAACGGCCCUUCCCUAUCAUCUUACUACUUUUAUACACAUUGAAAAGUACCCUUCAAGUACAAGGUUAUUAGGCACUCCAAAUAAAUAUGAUAAGAUAGAUACAAUUAUAUACAUAAUAAUCAGACAAGUCGACAGUACACUUUGGACAACACCUUAUUGUUAAAACCAAUAGGACUUUUUGUUUGUUAUCGACCAAAUAGCUACGACGUAAGAAGUUCCUCGACGAGACGUUGCGGCUGACUGGCCGUCAUACCGAAUCUCGGUCGAGCAAAUAUGCCACCAUAUAUAUUUCAGCUAGGUAUAAUGAACAACUAGGCAUAAUGAACAGCGAAUUUACCUCAAUAGAUCUACUACAUAAAUUUGUAUAAAGUCACUGUAGGUAAACACAAUCUAUUUAUGCAUAAAGC
rnacentral:rRNA from 1 species